rnacentral:rRNA from 1 species
UAGGGAAUCUUCGGCAAUGGACGAAAGUCUGACCGAGCAACGCCGCGUGAGUGAAGAAGGUUUUCGGAUCGUAAAACUCUGUUGUUAGAGAAGAACAAGGACGUUAGUAACUGAACGUCCCCUGACGGUAUCUAACCAGAAAGCCACGGCUAACUACGUGCCAGCAGCCGCGGUAAUACGUAGGUGGCAAGCGUUGUCCGGAUUUAUUGGGCGUAAAGCGAGCGCAGGCGGUUUCUUAAGUCUGAUGUGAAAGCCCCCGGCUCAACCGGGGAGGGUCAUUGGAAACUGGGAGACUUGAGUGCAGAAGAGGAGAGUGGAAUUCCAUGUGUGGCGGGGAAAUGCGUAGAUAUAUGGAGGAACACCAGUGGCGAAGGCGGCUCUCUGGUCUGUAACUGACGCUGAGGCUCGAAAGCGUGGGGAGCAAACAGG